rnacentral:tRNA from 1 species
GAGGUUGUAGCUCAGUGGUAGAGUUCUUGCCUAGCACAUAUGAGGCCCUGGGUUCAAUUCUCAGAACCACA